CUUAAUUAUAGUUGCCUGGUGUUUUCUACACUUUCACCAUUUUAUUAAAAACAAUUAUCUGAGAAGAACCAAUCUUUUGUAAUACCUACCCCAUUGUUCUCAUUUCUCUCUGAUUCUGAUGAGGUCUUUUCAAAGGGUAUUUUAUUCAUAAUUACAGCCUAUAGGGCAAUUGCUCAGAAACUGAGUCCAGGAGAUAUUUUGCUGAGAUUAAUUUUUCUUGUACUUCUUGAUCCAAUUACACCUUUAGGUUUUUUUUAACAACUAGCAACUUAAUAAACCUAUUUUAUUUCUGUGAGCCAAGCAUACUAUUAGUAACAAUUAACAUUAAAGCAUAUUUUAAAGAAUGAAUAUUUUUUAAAGUAUGAAAUCAAAACGGUGAUUUUUUAUUUGUUUUAUAAAAUGAACCUAUCCUUUAUGCAUGACCAGGUGGAGAAAACAUGCUUUAAAUUCAAUAGUGUUCUCAGGUUAUGGUGAACAUUAUUGUAGCUUAUUUCAAAACUUUAUGGCACCGGAACUGAGCUUUUAAAUUUUUUUAAGGCUGACAAAAUGGCUUUGCAAGUAACUGUGUUUGCCACCAAGGCUGGUGGCUUGUCUGCAGUCACCAGAACCUCCACACACGUGUGUCAUGAAAUGUCCAUAGCAUCUUCAAAUAAAAACAUGUCAUUGGAAAAUGUAAAAUUCGCUUAUCAUGUAAGAGAACUUGCUGCUUCUGAAGAGGAGAUGACUUUAGCUCCCAGUACCUAUGUGGUGGCUCACAAUGGACUGCAAGUCCAGAUGACUGAGACUCCUGUUCUGAACUUUGUAAGCACUGGGCACACAUGUGGUGUGCAUACAUGUAGCCAAAGCAUUCAUACACAUAAAAUAAAAAAUUAAUAAAUUGAAAAAAUAAGAUCUCUGUGUUGUCUAGGCUAGCCCCGAAUCCCUGGUCUGAAGUAUUCCUCUGGUCUCAUACUCUCCAGUAGGUAAAGCAAUGUAUACAUGCCACACUGGACCUAGCUUGAGCUGUCUUUAAAGUGUCAGAUGUGGUUAAAGUAUGUCUGGAUGAAAAGGCUAAGCAGGUUAAGCUGGAGGACAAGCAUCGUAUCUGAGUCAGGGGCUUCAAAUGACAAUGUCCUGAAGUAUUGUCAGGAGCAGAACCAAGACAUAAAACAUUCCAAGGUUCAUCUUUCAAACUUUUGAAUUA
rnacentral:lncRNA from 1 species